rnacentral:rRNA from 1 species
GACGAACGCUGGCGGCGUGCUUAACACAUGCAAGUCGAACGGAAAGGCCCUGCUGUUGUGGGGUGCUCGAGUGGCGAACGGGUGAGUAACACGUGAGUAACCUGCCCUUGACUUUGGGAUAACUUCAGGAAACUGGGGCUAAUACCGGAUAGGAGCUCCUGCUGCAUGGUGGGGGUUGGAAAGUUUCGGCGGUUGGGGAUGGACUCGCGGCUUAUCAGCUUGUUGGUGGGGUAGUGGCUUACCAAGGCUUUGACGGGUAGCCGGCCUGAGAGGGUGACCGGCCACAUUGGGACUGAGGGACGGCCCAGACUCCUACGGGAGGCAGCAGUGGGGAAUAUUGCACAAUGGGCGGAAGCCUGAUGCAGCAACGCCGCGUGCGGGAUGACGGCCUUCGGGUUGUAAACCGCUUUCGCCUGUGACGAAGCGUGAGUGACGGUAAUGGGUAAAGAAGCACCGGCUAACUACGUG